ACGACGCUGGCGGCGUGCCUAAUACAUGCAAGUCGAACGGUCUUUUCUAUGGAAGCUUGCUUCCACUGAGAAGAUAGUGGCGAACGGGUGAGUAACACGUGGGUAACCUGCCCAUAAGAGGGGGAUAACAUCCGGAAACGGGUGCUAAUACCGCAUAGUUUUUCUUGAUCGCAUGAUCGGGAAAGGAAAGACGGCCUUUGUGCUGUCGCUUAUGGAUGGACCCGCGGCGUAUUAGUUAGUUGGUGAGGUAAUGGCUCACCAAGACGAUGAUACGUAGCCGACCUGAGAGGGUGAUCGGCCACAUUGGGACUGAGACACGGCCCAAACUCCUACGGGAGGCAGCAGUAGGGAAUCUUCCGCAAUGGACGAAGUCUGACGGAGCAACGCCGCGUGAGUGAAGAAGGUUUUUCCGGAUCGUAAAACUCUGUUGUCAGAGAAGAACAAGUUGGAGAGUAACUGCUCCAGCCUUGACGGUAUCUGACCAGAAAGCCACGGCUAACUACGUGCCAGCAGCAGC
rnacentral:rRNA from 1 species